rnacentral:rRNA from 1 species
AACGAACGCUGGCGGCAGGCCUAACACAUGCAAGUCGAACGCAUCGCAAGAUGAGUGGCGCACGGGUGAGUAACACGUGGGAAUGUAUCCUUUGGUUCAGAAUAACGUUUGGAAACGAACGCUAAUACCGGAUGAGCCCUACGGGGGAAAGAUUUAUCGCCAAAGGAGCAGCCCGCGUCUGAUUAGGUAGUUGGUGGGGUAAUGGCCUACCAAGCCGACGAUCAGUAGCUGGUCUGAGAGGAUGAUCAGCCACACUGGGACUGAGACACGGCCCAGACUCCUACGGGAGGCAGCAGUGGGGAAUAUUGGACAAUGGGCGCAAGCCUGAUCCAGCCAUGCCGCGUGAGUGAUGAAGGCCUUCGGGUUGUAAAGCUCUUUCGCACACGACGAUGAUGACGGUAGUGUGAGAAGAAGCCCCGGCUAACUUCGUGCCAGCAGCCGCAGUAACAC